GGAGAGAUGGCUCAGAGGUUAAGAGCACUUGGCUGCUCUUCUAAAAGACCUGGGUUCAAUUCCCAGCGCCG
rnacentral:tRNA from 1 species